ACGGGUGAGUAAUGUCUGGGAAACUGCCUGAUGGAGGGGGAUAACUACUGGAAACGGUAGCUAAUACCGCAUAACGUCGCAAGACCAAAGAGGGGGACCUUCGGGCCUCUUGCCAUCAGAUGUGCCCAGAUGGGAUUAGCUAGUAGGUGGGGUAACGGCUCACCUAGGCGACGGUCCCUAGCUGGUCUGAGAGGAUGACCAGCCACACUGGAACUGAGACACGGUCCAGACUCCUACGGGAGGCAGCAGUGGGGAAUAUUGCACAAUGGGCGCAAGCCUGAUGCAGCCAUGCCGCGUGUAUGAAGAAGGCCUUCGGGUUGUAAAGUACUUUCAGCGGGGAGGAAGGUGUUGCGGUUAAUAACCGCAGCAAUUGACGUUACCCGCAGAAGAAGCACCGGCUAACUCCGUGCCAGCAGCCGCGGUAAUACGGAGGGUGCAAGCGUUAAUCGGAAUUACUGGGCGUAAAGCGCACGCAGGCGGUCUGUCAAGUCGGAUGUGAAAUCCCCGGGCUCAACCUGGGAACUGCAUUCGAAACUGGCAGGCUAGAGUCUUGUAGAGGGGGGUAGAAUUCCAGGUGUAGC
rnacentral:rRNA from 1 species